rnacentral:rRNA from 1 species
GACGAACGCUGGCGGCGUGCUUAACACGUGCAAGUCGAACGGAAAGGCCCUGCUUUUGUGGGGUGCUCGAGUGGCGAACGGGUGAGUAACACGUGAGUAACCUGCCCUUGACUUUGGGAUAACUUCAGGAAACUGGGGCUAAUACCGGAUAGGAGCUCCUGCUGCAUGGUGGGGGUUGGAAAGUUUCGGCGGUUGGGGAUGGACUCGCGGCUUAUCAGCUUGUUGGUGGGGUAGUGGCUUACCAAGGCUUUGACGGGUAGCCGGCCUGAGAGGGUGACCGGCCACAUUGGGACUGAGAUACGGCCCAGACUCCUACGGGAGGCAGCAGUGGGGAAUAUUGCACAAUGGGCGGAAGCCUGAUGCAGCAACGCCGCGUGCGGGAUGACGGCCUUCGGGUUGUAAACCGCUUUCGCCUGUGACGAAGCGUGAGUGACGGAAAUGGGUAAAGAAGCACCGGCUAACUACGUG